rnacentral:rRNA from 1 species
AGCUUCCUGGCAUCAUACUGACACUGAGGCUCGAAAGCGUGGGUAGCAAACAGGAUUAGAUACCCUGGUAGUCCACGCCGUAAACGAUGUCUACUAGUCGUUGGGUCCCUUGAGGACUUAGUGACGCAGCUAACGCAAUAAGUAGACCGCCUGGGGAGUACGGCCGCAAGGUUAAAACUCAAAUGAAUUGACGGGGGCCCGCACAAGCGGUGGAGCAUGUGGUUUAAUUCGAUGCAACGCGAAGAACCUUACCUGGUCUUGACAUAUCUAGAAUCCUGCAGAGAUGCGGGAGUGCCUUCGGGAAUUAGAAUACAGGUGCUGCAUGGCUGUCGUCAGCUCGUGUCGUGAGAUGUUGGGUUAAGUCCCGCAACGAGCGCAACCCUUGUCCUUAGUUACCAGCGGGUUAAGCCGGGAACUCUAAGGAUACUGCCAGUGACAAACUGGAGGAAGGCGGGGACGACGUCAAGUCAUCAUGGCCCUUACGACCAGGGCUACACACGUGCUACAAUGGUAGGUACAGAGGGCAGCUACACAGCGAUGUGAUGCGAAUCUCAAAAAGCCUAUCGUAGUCCAGAUUGGAGUCUGCAACUCGACUCCAUGAAGUAGGAAUCGCUAGUAAUCGCGGAUCAGAAUGCCGCGGUGAAUACGUUCCCGGGCCUUGUACACACCGCCCGUCACACCAUGGGAGUUGAUUGCACCAGAAGUGGAUAGCUUAACCUUCGGGGAGGCGUUCACCACGGUGUGGUUGAUGACUGGGGUGAAGUCGUAACAAGGUAACCGUA